AUUGAACGCUGGCGGCAUGCCUUACACAUGCAAGUCGAACGGCAGCACGGGUGCUUGCACCUGGUGGCGAGUGGCGAACGGGUGAGUAAUACAUCGGAACAUGUCCUGUAGUGGGGGAUAGCCCGGCGAAAGCCGGAUUAAUACCGCAUACGAUCUACGGAUGAAAGCGGGGGACCUUCGGGCCUCGCGCUAUAGGGUUGGCCGAUGGCUGAUUAGCUAGUUGGUGGGGUAAAGGCCUACCAAGGCGACGAUCAGUAGCUGGUCUGAGAGGACGACCAGCCACACUGGGACUGAGACACGGCCCAGACUCCUACGGAAGGCAGCAGUGGGGAAUUUUGGACAAUGGGCGAAAGCCUGAUCCAGCAAUGCCGCGUGUGUGAAGAAGGCCUUCGGGUUGUAAAGCACUUUUGUCCGGAAAGAAAUCCUUGGCCCUAAUACGGUCGGGGGAUGACGGUACCGGAAGAAUAAGCACCGGCUAACUACGUG
rnacentral:rRNA from 1 species